GCUACAGGCUUAACACAUGCAAGUCGAGGGGCAGCAUGGUCUUAGCUUGCUAAGGCCGAUGGCGACCGGCGCACGGGUGAGUAACACGUAUCCAACCUGCCGUCUACUCUUGGACAGCCUUCUGAAAGGAAGAUUAAUACAAGAUGGCAUCAUGAGUCCGCAUGUUCACAUGAUUAAAGGUAUUCCGGUAGACGAUGGGGAUGCGUUCCAUUAGAUAGUAGGCGGGGUAACGGCCCACCUAGUCUUCGAUGGAUAGGGGUUCUGAGAGGAAGGUCCCCCACAUUGGAACUGAGACACGGUCCAAACUCCUACGGGAGGCAGCAGUGAGGAAUAUUGGUCAAUGGGCGAGAGCCUGAACCAGCCAAGUAGCGUGAAGGAUGACUGCCCUAUGGGUUGUAAACUUCUUUUAUAAAGGAAUAAAGUCGGGUAUGGAUACCCGUUUGCAUGUACUUUAUGAAUAAGGAUCGGCUAACUCCGUGCCAGCAGCCGCGGUAAUACGGAGGAUCCGAGCGUUAUCCGGAUUUAUUGGGUUUAAAGGGAGCGUAGAUGGAUGUUUAAGUCAGUUGUGAAAGUUUGCGGCUCAACCGUAAAAUUGCAGUUGAUACUGGAUAUCUUGAGUGCAGUUGAGGCAGGCGGAAUUCGUGGUGUAGCGGUGAAAUGCUUAGAUAUCACGAAGAACUCCGAUUGCGAAGGCAGCCUGCUAAGCUGCAACUGACAUUGAGGCUCGAAAGUGUGGGUAUCAAACAGGAUUAGAUACCCUGGUAGUCCACACGGUAAACGAUGAAUACUCGCUGUUUGCGAUAUACUGCAAGCGGCCAAGCGAAAGCGUUAAGUAUUCCACCUGGGGAGUACGCCGGCAACGGUGAAACUCAAAGGAAUUGACGGGGGCCCGCACAAGCGGAGGAACAUGUGGUUUAAUUCGAUGAUACGCGAGGAACCUUACCCGGGCUUAAAUUGCAGAUGAAUUACGGUGAAAGCCGUAAGCCGCAAGGCAUCUGUGAAGGUGCUGCAUGGUUGUCGUCAGCUCGUGCCGUGAGGUGUCGGCUUAAGUGCCAUAACGAGCGCAACCCUUGUUGUCAGUUACUAACAGGUUCCGCUGAGGACUCUGACAAGACUGCCAUCGUAAGAUGUGAGGAAGGUGGGGAUGGCGUCAAAUCAGCACGGCCCUUACGUCCGGGGCUACACACGUGUUACAAUGGGGGGUACAGAGGGCCGCUACCACGCGAGUGGAUGCCAAUCCCCAAAACCUCUCUCAGUUCGGACUGGAGUCUGCAACCCGACUCCACGAAGCUGGAUUCGCUAGUAAUCGCGCAUCAGCCACGGCGCGGUGAAUACGUUCCCGGGCCUUGUACACACCGCCCGUCAAGCCAUGGGAGCCGGGGGUACCUGAAGUGCGUAACCGCGAGGAGCGCCCUAGGGUAAAACUGGUGACUGGGGCUAAGUCAUAACAA
rnacentral:rRNA from 1 species